CGAAACAUCAGCUGCAACAAAACAACUUCAAGUUUUGCAAAUUCCAUCUCCAAAUCUUACACAAAUCUUCAUCCAAUUCACACCCAACUUAAACCACACGUGGCUUAACACUUAAGGAUCAUUUGAGCUGCAAAGGGGAGCUGAAAAUCACGGUUUUACUGGAGUAAAGGGGGGGCCGAAAUUCUGGUUGAACAUCAAACCAAAGUAGGCGCACAUGAGGACCCACAAAAGGAUCCCACGGUGGACGCUUAAACUUCGAGUGGCCUUUUCUUCUCGUUUUACUUGGAAUGGAAAUGGAGUUAAUGCGGAGAGAUCUCUUUUUGGAUAUAUUUUGUUUUAGGGUUUCAAGUGUAUUUUGGCUUGACCCCUUUAUGAUUGUACUUUUGGAAGUUUAAUGUAUCAUUCGGAUAUAUGUGAUGUAUAUUUUGGAAUUUAAGUUGUAUUAUGAACGCCCGACGUGCGGGUUGGAUAAUGGAUGGAUAUUGUUAAGCAUGAACGCUU